rnacentral:lncRNA from 1 species
UCCGUCCACCUUCCGGAAGUCAGGGCCACAGCGCUUCUGGUCCCCGAGACGUAGGGCUCCCGGGCUUCUGAGCGGCUCGGGUUCCGCGCUGCCGGCAGGGCUUCGGGGCUCCUUAGAGCCGGACCCUGUUUUUUUAGGAAAGGGCGCUGCGACCACCCCCGUCCCGGGCCUCAGCCCCUCUGCUGCAGACCCUCGGGAUCGUCGCUGGAAAGAUUCUGGAGCUCGGCCGAGAGGGAUGUGUGAGUGGAGACCAGUGAAGUAACAGUUUUUGUGUUACGAUGAUUUCUGUUUUCCUCUGCUGCCCUGUAAUGGCAGGAACUCGGAUAGUCUGGUCUUCAGACCAGGAGGUCUCCCAGGAGAGAAUGGAGAGCCAGCAUGCUGUGUGUCACGGUCCCUGGAUGAACGUUUGUGGAACUGGAUUGAAUUAAACAAGACGUGCAAAGCAAGUGGUUCACGAGAUAUUUACGGAGCAUCCCCAGCUGCUGGGUGCUGGGACCCACCAGUGGGCAGGAGGGCCGUGCCCACCCCUUCCUGGAAAAGACAUUCACCAGGUAAAUGCAGAGAUUCAGCAUUGGGGUGACCCCAGCACACAGUCCUGAGGGAGGAAGCACAGUGAUUUGAUCGGAUUUGCUUUUCUCUUCCGUUUCGGAUUCCGUCCAACCCUUGAAGGACCUCUGAGGUGCCCCGUGGCUGGUUCUAGGCCCUAUUCAAGCCUCCUCCUCCAGAAAGCCUUCCCAGUCCUGGGCAUCUGUAGCCAGCUCGGCCUUUCUCACCUGGGGCCUGGAACAUCUCCCAUUCUGAACUGCUGUGUUUUGGGUUUACUGUUCUCUGGCUUUUGGUCCCAGGCAGACGGUGGCCUCUUGUGUUCAGGGACAAGGCGAAGAGCAUCCAUGCACCCCCACAGUACCCAGGCUAGGGUCUGUGCCUGCCAGGCCCCCGGCAAAGCCUGGAUGAUUAGGGCUGGGCUGCUCUCCUGCCUCUGUCCUGUCUCUGGCCUCUCCGUAUCAGCUGGUGGUCAUCCCGCCCUGCACCCGUCAUCCCGCCCUGCACCCAUCAUCCCGCCCUGCACCCGUCAUCCCGCCCUGCACGCCCCACCACGUGGAUGAGCUCCCUGGGGAGUUAAUGGCUAAUGGAGUCUCCGCUCUCUCUUGUCAAAUGCAGCCAUCAUCAGCUGGUGCUUUAAGGGACCCUCUCCCGUCCCCACCCUAUUCUCAGGUGGCUCCUACCCACACCACCUAAUGGUGAACCCCAACACGGGGACACAGGCAAUGCCUUCCCAGCACCACUGUGGGUGCCACCAGGCACGACUUCCUAAACACCCACAGAGCAAUACCUGGAAAUUCAGCUGAGGCAUUGGGACCCCAACCUCUCCCAGAGUGGCCCCAGCUCCACGGCGUCUGCAUGGCUCCAAUCAUGAGCAGAGCAGCCCCGACCUCCGUCCUGACCCAGGGCACCAGAGUGCCACUGCGGAUCUCACCACCAUACAAGCCAGACCUGCUAGGAAGCUCUUCCCUGCCCCACCAGCUCUCGGGCCGAUGCACACAACGGGGCCUUUUGAAUUCCCUGAGGUUAAGGUUCCCCUUGAGUCUCCUGGGCUACAAGCAAAUCCCCCGAGGGGAGAAGUCCAGGCUGACACAGCCUCCUGAACCCCUGCCUUGGGAGGCCACACCUCAUUUGCCUCUAGAACAGAUGAUUGGGGAGCACUGUUUGCAGAGUUCUCUCUCUCUGGGUAAGUUCCAAAGCCACAUCUUAGUGGAUGCGCUAUGGCCUGGGUGGAUGGCUCUCGUGUGUUUACAGCUGGGUCCCUUGCUUGGGAGCUGCCCCCGGGUGGGCAGCCUCUCCAACCUGUUUGAGUGCUUUACCUGGAGCAGGAAGAGGGCCUUGUGCUCUGGGCAGUGGUUCCUUGGGCACUGCAUCGUCUUUGCUUCUCUCCAGGGCCCACCUUCCCUGGCGGCUGCAUCCCAGCCGAGGGCAGGCCCCUUUUGCCAGCUGAAGGCAGAAAGGCCGGCAGCCCUGGUGUGGCGGCAGGCAGAGAAACCCCCUGGAGUGGUCUCCGUUCUUCUAAAAGUGAUGUUGACCACCGUGUCGCAGGCAGCUGGCAGAGUGGCGGUUCGAUCUGUCGUUACAGCCUUGCAUCACUGCAGUCUCCCACCCAGGGAGCAUCUCUGUCCAACCACAGCGAGCCUCCAGCUCCUACCCUCUGCCUGGGCUGGGGCAGAGCCUGGGGUCUGGGUGGGAGAAGUGCGACUCUGGGAUUAGACCUUACAAAGCAGGUUCCUCCUGGGAGUCAGCCCGGGUCUAAACGCAGCUGGGUGUGAAGGGGGUGCCAUCGGAUGUCGAGUUAGGAGGAUGAGACCUCCAGCCCCGGCACCCGCAUGUGUCUUUGGAAACCAGCUUUGGCUGCGCCCCUGGGGACACGCCCCUGAGGACACUGUCUGCCGUGGCCUCCCGCUCUCCUCCCCAGCACAGGCAGGGGGUCUCCCUCCUCCACCGCCACUCGCUCGGCCUCACCCUCCCCGCCAGGCACCUGGCUUUUCCCCGCCGACCCCCCCAGGGGGGCUGCGGCCCCCAGAAAGGCUGCACUCUGGGAGCAAAGUGGCCUGAAACCAGAGAAAAGAACGCCGGGGAAUUUGGCUUAAACUCGUUAAACCCAGUGAACCCUCUCGCCAAACGAUCGCAGUCUGCGCCCGGUCUUUUAAUCUCGUUCGGGCCUCGGGGUAAUUUGUUUAGCUGUGCUGAUCAGCUGAAGGUUAAUUCAAUUGGACUUGGGUUAUUUAUUUGUGCCCGGAUUUGCUAAGUGUCAUUGGAGGUACAUGAGGUCUUUAUUACAGUGGUGAGAUAGCUUCAUUAGGGUGAGGGCCACUCCCGCCGGAUCCGCCCCCUCCCGCCAGCUCCAGGCUGAGGCAGUCUUGGGAGGCUGGAGCCCCGGGUGCGGUGGCUCCCGUUCCUGGAUGCAGGGGAUACCUGAGCACUGUGCCGGGAGGCCAGCCUCACCGGCUCUGGUGUUGACACCGGGCGGUUCUCUCACGUAACCCAUCCUAACCGAGGCUGAAGGACCUGCUUCCCAGGACCCGUCCCCUCCCUCAGGGGGACCUAAAGGCGUUUUCCCCACCCCGCCUCAGUGUUCCCAUCCACACACUGGGAACAGCACCCUGCCCUUCUGCGGCCUCCCAGGCUGGGCUUUGUAGCUCCAGCCCCCACCCCGCCCGGUGACCGGAGCAGAAGGACGCUGAGGUCGCAGAGCGGGCAGCCGGGUUGGCCGGGCGAGCAGACCUCCUGCACGGAGCCGGGAUCCUUCUCAGGCAGCCGGCAGAUGAUGGAUUGCACGUGGACACUGCCUGGGAUGCGUGUGACUUGGCAGCCUGCCCGUUUCCUGCCCUGGGAUCAGACGCCCUGGUGGGUGUCCUUUUCCUGGUCCCCUGUCCUCCUAGCCCGGGGCGGUAUCUGGAGGGGGGAGGCUCGCCCCUGUGCCCGUGUCCUCGGGCCACCUGCCGGUCCCUGCCCACCCCGGCCGCGGAGGGGCAGGAUGGGCUGUGGAGACUUGGGGAGUUCUGGGGUGACACAGAGGGCCCGGGCUGGAGGCUGUAGCAGCCAAGGCCACGGGAAAUGUGGGAGGGGUGGCAGGUGCCCCCCGAGGAGUAGCCCAGGUGCCCCGGAGGCUGCUGAGAGGGUUGAGAGUGCAGAGACGAGGGACACAGGGAAGGCUUGAAUUCUCUCGCCAUCUUCAAUGUCGGAGCCCAGACAGGGCAAGGCGAGGAGGGGUCCGGGGCGAAGACGCCACCCACGUUCCUCCUUCCCACGGGCUUCUUCUCCUUCUAGCCCUUCCAGGAGAGAAACCAUCCCACAAGUCCAGAGUAGGGGCGUCCCUGGGGACACGUCUCCUGAGCAAACACUGUUUUCUAGGAGUCCGAGGGUCCUCGGCCAUCUAGGUCAAUCCCUUUGCAGAACGGUGAAGGAAUCUGAAGCCCAGAGAGGGAGAGUGAUGCCUCCUGGGUCACACAGCCCAUUGGGCAGGGCAGGGACAAACGGCGAGAAAAGGACCAGUGUGAGAGGAGAGCCAAGCCCAGCCAAGCCCAGGGUCUACCCACAUCCACACCUCACAGCCACCCGACGGGGAGGGCACCAUUGCCCCUUUUCAAAGGUGAGAAAAUGGAGGCUCAGAGAGGUUCAGCAACUUUUCCCACAGCUACUCCGUUGUAGAACUGCAGUUCCAGGUAUCCCCGAGCUCUCCCUUCCUGAGCCAUCUGCUCCUGCCCUCCUAUCCGAGCCCUGGCCCUCCCAGUCAAAGCAGGGUAGUGGCUGUUCAGAAGCCUUGGGGCUAGUCAAUCCCAGCUGUCUCGGACCAGGGCCCCCCAAGAGGAGACCCUGAAGGAUGCAGUUGAGAAUACGUGCUUCCUUUGGGAGGUGAUCUCAGGAAUUGCAGGGGAAAGAGGGGGAGCGUGUUAGUGACAGCUUUCCGGAGAAACAGAACCAAUGCACAGAGGAGAUUUAGGAUGAGGAAUCUGGUUUAUGUGACUCUGGGGACUGAGAAGUCCCACCAUCUGUGUUGCAAGCUGGAAACCCAGGGAAGCCUGAGGUGUGAUUCAAACUCAGCUCAGGUCCGGAGGCCUGAGAACCAGGGCAGCUGAUGGUGGACAUCCAGUCCCGGGGCAAGAGAGGAUGAGAUGUCCUGGCUCCAGUGGCAAGGCAGGAAAUGAGGGGUGAACUCCUCCUCCCUCUGCCGUCUGUUCUAUUCAAGCUCUUGAGGGAUUGGAUGAUGCCCAGCCACUUGGGGAGGGCAGCCCACCUUCCUGAGUCCACAAUUCAAAUGCUGAUCUAAUCCAGAAACACUCUUAUACACACAAUGUGUAGUCUGGGCACCCCACAGUGCACUUAAGUGGACACAUAAAAUUAACCAUCCCAGGGAGUGAGGUGGGUAAGGGAAGAUGGGCCGCAAUGGGUGUGUCUCCAUGCCUGCCACCACUGUGGGGAGCUGCUGGAGCACACGCCUCAAAGUCUUCCCUGAGGGAGAGGGAGCUGGGGUAUUUGUACCCCAGCUCUAUCAGGCAUUGGCUGAAUGUCCACACUCCUGGAUCACCACCUCUCAUCCUCAUGAUGUCCCAUGGUCCUCAUUUCACAAGUGAGCUCUGGGUACAUGGGGAGCAUCAGUCACACCCUGGGUCAGUACCUCAGCUGUCCCUCACAUGAUAUCCUCAUUAUCCACACUGCAAAGCAAACCAUCCCUAUGAUGGGUUCAUUGUGGAUCAUGACUUAGUGGGUCAAGAGUUUGGAAGUGGCUCAGCUGGGCGGUUCUUCCGCUCCAUGUGGCUGCCAGAUGGUACCCUGCUGGUGGGCACUCUGGUCUAGAGGGUCCAUGAUGGCUUUACUCACAUGCUUGGCAUCUUGGCAGGGACAGCUGGAAGGCAAAGUUCAGCUGGGACUCUCCACAGGGCUCCUCCCUGUGGCCUUUCCAGCACAGUGGUCUCAGGGUAGCUGGACUGCUUGCAUGUCAGCUCAGGGCUCCCAGAGCCACUGUCCCAAGAGACAGAAGGUGGAAACUGCCAGUCUCUUAGGCUAGGACCGGAAACCAGCACCCCUGCAUCCACAGCCUUUUGGUAGUGAUGAAAUAAACAUAACAUUUAUCAUUUUAAUCAUUUGUAAGUGGGAUUAAAUACAUUUACAAUAUUGUGCAACCAUCGGCACUGUCUAUACCUAAAACUUUUUCAUCAUCUGCAAUAAAAACUCUGUAUGCAUUAAA